UGGAGGACUGAGAAGGUUGAGCAGCUUGUGCUGUUAUAACUGGUUAAAACCUCCAAGAGUAACACACAAACCACUCAAUUGAGCAUCUUUGUCAUGAGCUCAUUUGUAGUGUGUUUGUGAACAAAAC